rfam:Triticum aestivum genome assembly, contig: Triticum_aestivum_CS42_TGACv1_scaffold_569417_7AS
AAAGUACUUCCUCCGUCCGGCAUUACUUGUAGGAGAAAUUGGUGUAUCUAGACGUAUAUUAAUUCUAAAUACAUCUAUUUUUGUUCAUUUCUGUGACAAAUAAUUCCGAAUAGAGGGAGUAAUAU